UGUCCUCUAAAUAAGGACCAGUAUGAAUGGCAACAUGAGAAAGAACCUGUCUCUUUCGGCUCGUCAGUGAAACUGAUCUGCCUGUACAAAAGCAGGCAUGUAAAAACAAGACAAAAAGACCCUGUGAAACUUCAAAUACCCUUCAACCACAUGAUAGGGCAUUUUUCGGUUGGGGCAACCAAUGAGAAGUAAACCUCAUAAAAUCAAAAGGCCCGCAAGCCAAUUGAACGCAGAAGAUCCAGUACUACUGAUCUAAGGACAAAGCUACUCCAGGGAUAACAGCGCCACAUUCUUAAAGAGUCCAUAUCAACAAGAAUACCUACGACCUCGAUGUUGGAUCAGGGCACCCAAAUGGCGCAAAAGCUAUUAAAGGUUCGUUUGUUCAACGAUUAAAGC
rnacentral:rRNA from 1 species